AGGUAGCCGCCGGCUGAACGGAUUUCAUUGAUGUUGAAAAACAUGAAUUUUUUUAAUUCGCUGCCUU
rnacentral:tRNA from 1 species